rnacentral:lncRNA from 1 species
CUAAACUAAGUCGUUUUGGCCUAUUCUAAGUGGGAUUAAAAAGUAAUUAGUCGACCACCCCUCUCACGCAUACCACCCAAAAUCAAAGAUCAGUACUCUCAAUGUUCCUCUCAAGCAAGAACUAGGGUUCCAUAGUUUCAAUUCAAGAAUUUGAGCUAGGGCUUCCAUUCUAGGUAGUAGAUGAAACUUCAGAUAGUCAGUAUUUCAGCCUAAGUUCUACGGACAGGGAUCUACCGUUCGUAGAUUGAAUCACGAACAGUAGAUGACCUAGUAGAACCUGCCGAAAUCAAUUUUUAGUCGAGAUAAUUCUGGUCUUUUACUACUCUUUUGAUCCCCUAAACUAAGUCGUUUUGGCCUAUUCUAAGUGGGAUUAAAAGUAAUUAGUCGACCACCCCUCUCACGCAUACCACCCAAAAUCAAAGAUCAGUACUCUCAAUGUUCCUCUCAAGCAAGAACUAGGGUUUCAUAGUUUCAAUUCCAGAAUUCGAGCUAGGGCUUCCAUUCUAGGUAUGUGGGAUUUCAUCAAUGAGUAUCUUUCCACCCAUUGAGUCCCAAAGAAAACGUAGCUUUUCAGUUCAUGAUUUCUAUAGCAAUUAGGGUUU